UUAACGACUCUCGGCAACGGAUAUCUCGGUUCUCCCAUCGAUGAAGAACGUAGCGAAAUGCGAUACUUGGUGUGAAUUGCAGAAUCCCGUGAACCAUCGAGUCUUUGAACGCAAGUUGCGCCCGAAGCCACUAGGCCGAGGGCACGUCUGCCUGGGCGUCUCACA
rnacentral:rRNA from 1 species